UAUAUNGUGGUUAGAGCUUUCGGCUGUUAACCGAAAAGUCGCUGGUUCGAUCCCAGCCUGUGGAG
rnacentral:tRNA from 1 species